rnacentral:misc_RNA from 1 species
AAGUCGUAACAAGGUUUCCGUAGGUGAACCUGCGGAAGGAUCAUUACCAAUUGGUCUAACCAACCAAACUACUUUUGUGCAACUACCUGUGGUCUUGGUGCUAGCGGGGUGAUUCCCGCGACCACCUCGACUAUUGUUUACUUACUUUGUUUACCGUCUAAUGACUUCAGUUUACCUAGACAUUACUGACAUGCCUGGCUUGAAACCCACGGUAGUCAGUAAGCGUCAAUGGGAAAAACAACUUUUAGCAACGGAUCUCUAGGCUCUC